rnacentral:rRNA from 1 species
GACGAACGCUGGCGGCGUGCCUAAUACAUGCAAGUCGAACGCAAAACUUUCACCGAAUGCUUGCAUUCACGAAAGUCUUGAGUGGCGAACGGGUGAGUAACACGUGGGUAACCUGCCGAGAAGAGGGGGAUAACACUUGGAAACAGGUGCUAAUACGGCAUAAUAACAAAAACCGCAUGGUUUUUGUUUGAAAGAUGGUUUUGCUAUCACUUCUGGAUGGACCCGCGGCGUAUUAGUUAGUUGGUAAGGUAAAGGCUUACCAAGGCAAUGAUACGUAGCGGAACUGAGAGGUUAAUCGGCCACAUUGGGACUGAGACACGGCCCAAACUCCUACGGGAGGCAGCAGUAGGGAAUCUUCCACAAUGGACGAAAGUCUGAUGGAGCAACGCCGCGUGAGUGAAGAAGGUUUUCGGAUCGUAAAACUCUGUUGUUAGAGAAGAACGUGUGUGAGAGUAACUGCUCAUGCAGUGACGGUAUCUAACCAGAAAGCCACGGCUAACUACGUGCCAGCCGCCGCGGUAA